GUGUGAGCUCCACCCAGCUGCUCUCCAACCCAAUAAUCCAGAGCUGGCGUCUGAAUUAUUACUCCUGCUGCGUUAUUGUAGGUAGACCAAAAUCAAUACAUCGGAUCAGACAGGCCGGGGGUUUUUUAUCUGUGGAUCGCGAGAUUAUUUUUUUCGUUUUAUGAGCAAACGUGGACUUGGAAGUUGAGACUGGAGAGACGCACAUGUGUGUCCGUCUUCCUCCGGACGCGUCGACCCGUCAGCAUUCUGGGUAAAAAGUUGUGUUUGUGUUUGGGAUUUUGCUUUAUAAAUAUAUAGGAAGAAAAGGAGCACGACAACAUGUCGCUGAGCAGAAGUAUCGAAUUUGAACACUUCGAGGAACGAGAGAAGCCGCACCGGACACCGAGGACCAACUCUGCGUCCGGGUCCCAGUCCUCCAGAGGCAACGGUCUGGUACCGAGCCCGGCGCACAGUGCGCACUGUAGUUUCUACCGCACGCGCACUCUGCAGUCCCUCACCACCGAGAAGAAAGCCAAAAAAGUGCGUUUUUAUCGCAAUGGAGACCGAUAUUUCAAAGGAUUGGUUUAUGCCGUGUCUAACGACCGGUUCCGGUCUCUGGAUGCUCUGCUCAUGGAGCUCACCCAGUCCCUGUCGGACAACGUCAACCUUCCUCAAGGAGUCCGGAUGUUAUACGCGAUGGAUGGAGGCAGUAGGAUCACCAGUCUGGAGGAGUUGGUAGAAGGUGAGAGUUAUGUGUGCGCCUCAAACGAACCCUUCCGACGCGUGGACUACACCAGGAACGUCAAUCCGAACUGGUUGGUGGGCUCCAAGACCGGCACGUCGCGCUCCCUCUCCUCUCUCGUCCGGCUGAAGAGUGAGCUGCAGCACGAGACCAAGGACUUCAUCAAGCCCAAGCUGGUCACGGUCAUCCGCAGCGGGGUCAAACCCCGCAAGGCCGUACGCAUACUGCUCAACAAGAAGACGGCGCACUCCUUCGGGCAGGUGCUCACCGACAUCACGGACGCAAUCAAGUUGGACUCGGGAGCCGUGAGGAGACUGUACACUUUGGAGGGCAAGCAGAUUAUCUGCCUGCAGGAUUUCUUUGGGGACGACGAUGUGUUCAUAGCGUGCGGCCCGGAGAAGCACCGCUACGCUCAGGACGACUUUGUGUUGGAUCACAGUGGUAAGGCGUCCGCAGCCUUUAUGACUGAAUGCCGAGUGCUAAAGACGUCGUCGCACAGCCGCUCCGCUACUCCACACCGGACAGACAAGAGCCCCAGACCUUCGCGCCGCAGCAAGUCACCUGGUGCAGCAAGACAAACUGUCCACUACUCCACCAGUCAGUCUCCACUCAAAUCCCCAGUAAACGGUGUCUCAAGCAGCCAGAUCUCAACUCCUAAGUCCACCAAGUCCUCCACUCCGUCUCCCACCAGUCCUGGAACCAUCCGCAGUUUUGAGGUCCUCCCGUCACAUUACAGCUCAUCCUCCAAUUUAAACGGAUCUUUAAACAACCACCAGGAGCAAAGUGAUCGGCUGAGUCCGGAGGCAGUUAACGGAAACCGCUUCAUACCGGCCUCAACCAUCUCGGAAAAAUACAGGAUCGGCAAGGUGAUCGGAGACGGAAACUUCGCUGUGGUCAAAGAGUGCGUGGAGUGGUCCACAGGAAAAGAGUUUGCACUGAAGAUCAUCGACAAGGCCAAGUGCUGUGGAAAGGAGCACCUCAUAGAGAACGAGGUUGCGGUGCUGCGGAAGGUGAAACACCCCAACAUCAUCAUGCUGAUAGAGGAGGUGGACACGCCCUCUGAGCUCUACCUGGUUAUGGAGCUUGUCAAGGGAGGGGAUUUAUUCGAUGCCAUCACCUCCUCGGCGAAAUACACCGAGAGAGACGCCUGCGUCAUGGUGUACAAUCUGGCCGGAGCUCUGAAGUACCUGCACAGCACCAACAUCGUCCACAGAGACAUCAAGCCGGAGAACUUGCUGGUGUUUGAAUAUCCAGAUGGCACCAAGUCAUUGAAACUGGGGGACUUUGGCCUGGCCACAGUAGUGGAAGGACCUCUGUACACCGUGUGUGGAACUCCGACAUACGUAGCUCCGGAAAUCAUCUCGGAGUCCGGUUAUGGUCUGAAGGUGGAUAUCUGGGCUGCAGGUGUCAUCACCUACAUCCUUCUUUGUGGCUUCCCUCCAUUUAGAAGUGAGAGUAACAUGCAGGAGGAUCUGUUUGAGCAGAUCCUCCUAGGGCACCUGGACUUUCCCAGUCCUUACUGGGACAACAUCACUGACUCAGCCAAGGAGCUGAUUGGAAAGAUGCUGCAGGUGAACGCUGAGGUUCGAUACUCCGCACAAGACAUCCUCCGCCACCCCUGGGUCACGGACGACACCGUCAUGGAGAACAACAUGAUGAUGGAGGUCACAGGUAAACUGAAGACGCACUUUAACACUGCACCUAAGCACAACAACACCACGGCCGGCGUGUCCGUCAUCAUGGUAAGAGCCCAAAAGAUUCACAAACCAAAGAUUCAAAAUUCCGUAAAUAUCUCUGUCGUUCCGUCGUUGCACAUUUAGUUUUCUGAUUUGCUGCAGUCCUUUCAUCGAGCGUAGUCUUACCGCUUCAUGUGGUGCUGACCUUCAGUGACCUCUAUAAUCUGCAGUACUCGGGUUUAAUGGAGUCGACAAGGUGACUGAAGUAGCUUGAAGAUGUCGGGCUCUUUUCCAAACACGUACUGCAUGGAAUUGAAUCUCUGACCCAAAUACAGAAGAUUGAGCUGCUUCCAAGUUCACAUUUAUACGAGCCGUACGGCCAGCCAAUCAGCAGGCUAAGAAUAUCUGAACUCAAUCGUGGUCCGCGAGAACGUUGGGCGACCUGCUGUAAACACGGACCUCGUGGUUUUAGAGAUGGGGAGACGGGGGAGAGCUCGGGCGGGACACGAUACAUCAUUCCUGGAGCAGUCACAUCCCUCCUUCCUGUCUGUUUCAAGCACCACUUGCAUCAUUUCCUGUCGUACAGUUUGACUUCCUCCACUCCUCUUCUUCAUCUGUUCACACUAAUCAUCGGCCCGCUCUCUUCAGUCUGAACUGAGAGCGGGAGAGGGGCGUAAGAGAAAGUGUCUCGCUAGAAAUGACACGUGGUCCUCGCUGCAAAGAGCCUCAUUUAUUUUUGUCAAUUUCAUUUGACAGUUUGAGGUGUAAAUGUGGAACCUGGCCUCGGCCCCUCCUCCUCUCCAUCCUCUUCCUCCUCCUCACCCCCUUCCUCACAUCACAACCCAGGACCAGAGUGGACGCCUGGAGCUGAGAGCUGGCUUCAAGGCGAUAAUGGUACGUACUAACACUGACCGUCUGCUGCGAGGGCAAAUGAGGAACGCGAUACCUCGAACACCUCAUCGGCUUAACGACGAGAAGCACCACGCAUGAACGAGCACGAGCGGACUUUCUCAUUUGCCCUCUCUCUUCA